CCAAUAGCGUAUAUUAAAGUUGUUGCAGUUAAAAAGCUCGUAGUUGAAUUUCGGGAUCGACGGGUCGGUCGCGCCUCUGGUGUGUACUGGCCCUGUCGGUUUCUCCCUUCUGACGAACCACGAUGUCAUUAAUUUGGUUUCGUGGGAAAUCAGGACUGUUACUUUGAAAAAAUUAGAGUGUUUAAAGCAGGCAUUCGCUUGAAUACAUUAGCAUGGAAUAAUGAAAUAGGACGUUUGAUCUUAUUUUGUUGGUUUCUAAGAUCGACGUAAUGAUUAAUAGGGAUAGUUGGGGGCAUUAGUAUUCAAUUGUCAGAGGUGAAAUUCUUGGAUUUAUUGAAGACUAACUACUGCGAAAGCAUUUGCCAAGGAUGUUUUCAUUAAUCAAGAACGAAAGUUAGGGGAUCGAAGACGAUCAGAUACCGUCGUAGUCUUAACCAUAAACUAUGCCGACUAGGGAUCGGAUGAUGUUAAUUUUUUAAUGACUCAUUCGGCGCCUUACG
rnacentral:rRNA from 1 species